AGCUCUUGAGAGAGAAGGGCCUGGCUGCUUGGGAACUGACAAAGAGAAGAAGAAAACAGAGAUCCACUGAAUGAAUGCUCAUUGCUCCUACUUUGCCCUGAGUGAGAAGGAGAGAAGCAUGUCUCUGAAGAAAUCUUCCUGGGAAGAAGAGUACUGAAGAUUCCUCAGUCCUUGUGCACUUUCUUUCUCUCCCCUUCUCCCCCACAACCCUCUCCAGCUCCUUUCUUUGUAAUGUGGGGGUGGGGUGUGAAGAUUUCCAUAUGUACACCUUUGCUGACUCCCCUGCACAAUCUGCCCUUAAUGGAUCGUCUCUGUUCACUCUCAUAGGUUCAUAAAGAGAAAGUGAAGA